UACGUAGGGUGCAAGCGUUGUCCGGAAUUAUUGGGCGUAAAGAGCUCGUAGGCGGUUUGUCGCGUCUGCUGUGAAAACCCGAGGCUCAACCUCGGGCCUGCAGUGGGUACGGGCAGACUAGAGUGCGGUAGGGGAGAUUGGAAUUCCUGGUGUAGCGGUGAAAUGCGCAGAUAUCAGGAGGAACACCGGUGGCGAAGGCGGGUCUCUGGGCCGAUACUGACGCUGAGGAGCGAAAGCAUGGGGAGCGAACAGG
rnacentral:rRNA from 1 species